rnacentral:rRNA from 1 species
UAGCGUAUAUUAAAGUUGUUGCAGUUAGAACGCUCGUAGUCGGAUUUCGGGGCGGGCCGAGCGGUCUGCCGAUGGGUAUGCACUGUUCGGCGCGUCCUUCUUUCCGGAGACCGCGCCUACUCUUAGCUGAGCGGGCGCGGGAGACGGAUCGUUUACUUUGAAAAAAUCAGAGUGUUUCAAGCAGGCAGCUCGCUCUUGCAUGGAUUAGCAUGGGAUAAUGAAAUAGGACUCUGGUGCUAUUUUGUUGGUUUCGAACACCGGAGUAAUGAUUAACAGGGACAGUCAGGGGCACUCGUAUUCCGUCGAGAGAGGUGAAAUUCUCAGACCAAUGGAAGACGAACUACUGCGAAAGCAUUUG